GGGUGAGUAACGCGUAUCCAACCUGCCCAUCACUUGGGAAUAACCUUGCGAAAGUAAGACUAAUACCCAAUGACAUCCCACGAAGGCAUCCGAAUGGGAUUAAAGAUUUAUCGGUGAUGGAUGGGGAUGCGUCUGAUUAGCUUGUUGGCGGGGUAACGGCCCACCAAGGCAACGAUCAGUAGGGGUUCUGAGAGGAAGGUCCCCCACAUUGGAACUGAGACACGGUCCAAACUCCUACGGGAGGCAGCAGUGAGGAAUAUUGGUCAAUGGGCGAGAGCCUGAACCAGCCAAGUAGCGUGCAGGAUGACGGCCCUAUGGGUUGUAAACUGCUUUUAUAAGGGAAUAAAGUGGGUCACGUGUGACUUUUUGCAUGUACCUUAUGAAUAAGGACCGGCUAAUUCCGUGCCAGCAGCCGCGGUAAUACGGAAGGUCCGGGCGUUAUCCGGAUUUAUUGGGUUUAAAGGGAGCGUAGGCCGGAGAUUAAGCGUGUUGUGAAAUGUAGAGGCUCAACCUCUGCACUGCAGCGCGAACUGGUCUUCUUGAGUACGCACAACGUGGGCGGAAUUCGUGGUGUAGCGGUGAAAUGCUUAGAUAUCACGAAGAACUCCGAUUGCGAAGGCAGCUCACGGGAGCGCAACUGACGCUGAAGCUCGAAAGUGCGGGUAUCGAACAGGAUUAGAUACCCUGGUAGUCCGCACGGUAAACGAUGGAUGCCCGCUGUUGGCCAGAA
rnacentral:rRNA from 1 species